rnacentral:lncRNA from 1 species
GCUGCUUCCUGUUGUCAGUGGCCGAGAGACCGCAUCGUCGGCUCGGAGGCUGAGGGGCUGCCGCAGCCGGGAGCCCCCCUCGCCUCGCUCCUCGCUCCGCUUGGUGUCAUGUGAUUCUCUGAGGGAGCAGCUGCGUGAGUGGAGAUGCUUUCAGUGGUGGAGAAUGGACUGGACCCCCAGGCUGCCAUCCCGACACAUCAUCUCAGAGUUGGAGCACCUGACGUUUGUCAACAUGGAUGUGGGCCGCUGCCGGGCAUGGCUGCGGCUGGCCCUGAACAAUGGCCUGAUGGAGUGCUACCUGAAGCUGCUGCUGCAGGAGCAGGCCCGCUUGCAACUACAGCGGAAGGAAUCUCUGGAUUCCAUUUCCCAUUCUUCAGGCUCUGAAGACAUCGAAGUCCAUCACUCGGGCCAUAAGAUACGGAGGAACCAGAAGCCGACUGCCUCCUCCCUCAGCCUGGACACGGCCAGUUCAUCCCAGCUGUCCUGCAGCCUAAACUCUGAUAGCUGCUUACUCCAAGAGAAUGGCUCCAAGAGUCCAGACCAUUGCGAGGAGCCCAUGUCCUAUGACUCAGACCUGGGCACAGCAAAUGCUGAGGACUCAGACCAGUCUCUGCAAGACUGGGCACAGUGGCUCACGCCUGUAAUCCCAGCACCUUGGGAGGCCAAGGCAGGUGGAUCACGAGGUCAGGAGAUUGAGACCAUCCUGACUAACAUGGUGAAACCCCGUCUCUACUAAAAAUACAAAAAAUUAGCUGGGCAUGGUGGCGGGCGCCUGUAGUCCCAGCUACAUGGGCGGCUGAGGCAGGAGAAUGGCGUGAACCUGGGAGGUGGAGCUUGCAGUGAGCUGAGACCGCACCACUGCACUCCAGCCUGGGUGACAGAGUAAGACUCUGUCUCAAAAAUAAAUAAAUAAAUAAAUAAAUAAAUAAAUAAAAUAAAAAA